rnacentral:rRNA from 1 species
GCACGAAGCUGGAAUCGCUAGUAAUCGCGGAUCAGAAUGCCGCGGUGAAUACGUUCCCGGGUCUUGUACACACCGCCCGUCACACCAUGGGAGCCGGGAAUGCCCGAAGUCAGCGGCCCAACCGCAAGGAGGGAGCUGCCGAAGGCAGGUCUGGUGACUGGGGUGAAGUCGUAACAAGGUAAC